GGACAGGAGAGGAGUGGGGAAAUAGGCCACUUAGGCCCCCGGGGAGGAUGACAACCAGGGAAAUACACCAGAGCGCUCUCCGACAGGGCCUCUGAGGUCGGAGGCCGAGUCCGUCUGCGGGCUCUACCCCGGGGCCGAUCCAGUUCAGGGAGGUCAAAAAGGCAGCUCUGAACGCGCCCAACCGGGACUGGAAACAUGUAAAACCCUCGGUUCAGCCCGAUUCCUCCUCGUCCAGGCAGCUUGUCUUGGGGGCACCCUAACCUCUCCGAACCUCAAUUUCCCCAUCUUGGGGAUCACUGAGGCCGGAAGUUGUAGAAGCACCUAGGAAGCUACGGGGUCCUGCAUCGGGACCAGUUUCCGGCUGUGCGCUCCCCUGACUUGGCAGAAAGAAGAGCUGGACGAUGACUAGAAGGUUCCGGAAGACAUCAUGGGGAGACAUCUCAGGAAGGGAAAGUCAAUUAUCCAUAAGGACUCGGGGGCGGUGCUCCCCAUCGAAGGCUGGUGUCAGGAAAGACUCUGAGGUCAGAAUCCAGACACGGGAUUGGAGGUGCUGAUGAACUCUGCUGCAGCACAGACUUUGGGGAGACGGUGAGAAAAAGGAGGAAAUGGGGCCCCCCUGCUUUCUCAUCUUCUCGUCUCUCCUGCACACUCCGAAGGUAGGGACCUUAUCUCCUCAUCUUCCCCGUAGCCCCUGGAGGUGCCCGCAGUGGUCUGGAAAUGUUUGUAGAAUGAAUGAAAGUAGGGUGGGUAGGGGAGGAAGGGGGACACACAGGCCAAAGAGGAGGGGAAAGAACCAAAAGAAUGAAUAGGGAGCGACUUCCUUGGUGGGCCAGCAGUGAGGACUGUGCGCUUCCACUCAAGAGGCACAGGGACCAUGCUCUGGUCAGGGAAUGAAGAUCCUGCAUGCCUUGAGGUGCGGCAAAAAAAAAAAAAGAAAGAAAGAAUAAGGAGAUAGAAAAAGAGGGGAAGAGACAACCAGGCCUCCUGGUUAGUUCAUAAACCCCAGAAGUGAUUUGGAUGUUAUGUGUGCAUGAGUGUAGACAGGAAUCCCUCGAGAAUAUGAGGGUCUGAUUUUAGAAACCAAGGCAUCUAAGAAUGCAGAAGUGGCCCCUUCCCUAUGGUCCAUUGUCUCCUGGGGGAGGAAGAAAGAAAAGGAGGCUGAUGUAAAAACUGGGGAUGGGAAUUCCCUGGUGGUUCAGUGGUUAGGACUCUGUGCUUCCGCUGCACAAGGUUGGGGUUUGAUCACUGGUCUAGGCACUGAGAUCCCACAUGCCUCGAGGUGCGGCUACAAAAAAAAAAGGAAUUAAGAAAAAUGGUGGGUAUGACGAUGGGCAUGUGGAGCUGACCUGGCUGGAGAGUCGUAGUAAUGAGGGCAGAUUUGUAUCAAUAGAGGGAAAUUGCCAGGGAAAAGGCAAUUGUGUGUGUGUGUGUGUGUGUGUGUGUGUGUAUAACAGGCAGAGACUUUCAAAGCAAUCAAAAUAACUCUGAUGAGCACUCUCUCCUACCCUCUCCCUCGUGAAC
ensembl:lncRNA